rnacentral:rRNA from 1 species
CCUACGGGACGCAGCAGUAGGGAAUUUUCGUCAAUGGGCGCAAGCCUGAACGAGCAAUGCCGCGUGAACGAGGAAGGUCUUCGGAUCGUAAAGUUCUGUUGAAGGGGAAAAAGAGCGGAGAGAGGAAAUGGUCUCCGAUUGAUAUUACCCUUCGAGGAAGUCACGGCUAACUACGUGCCAGCAGCCGCGGUAAUACGUAGGUGGCGAGCGUUAUCCGGAAUGAUUGGGCGUAAAGGGCGUGUAGGCGGGAAAGCAAGUCAGAUGUGAAAACCAUGGGCUCAACCUGUGGCCUGCAUUUGAAAAUG